ACGGUGAAGCAGAGCUUGCUCUGUGGAUCAGUGGCGAACGGGUGAGUAACACGUGAGCAACCUGCCCUGGACUCUGGGAUAAGCGCUGGAAACGGCGUCUAAUACUGGAUAUGAGACGUGGCCGCAUGGUCAACGUUUGGAAAGAUUUUUCGGUCUGGGAUGGGCUCGCGGCCUAUCAGCUUGUUGGUGAGGUAAUGGCUCACCAAGGCGUCGACGGGUAGCCGGCCUGAGAGGGUGACCGGCCACACUGGGACUGAGACACGGCCCAGACUCCUACGGGAGGCAGCAGUGGGGAAUAUUGCACAAUGGGCGGAAGCCUGAUGCAGCAACGCCGCGUGAGGGAUGACGGCCUUCGGGUUGUAAACCUCUUUUAGCAGGGAAGAAGCGAAAGUGACGGUACCUGCAGAAAAAGCACCGGCUAACUACGUGCCAGCAGCCGCGGUAAUACGUAGGGUGCAAGCGUUAUCCGGAAUUAUUGGGCGUAAAGAGCUCGUAGGCGGUUUGUCGCGUCUGCUGUGAAAUCUGGGGGCUCAACCCCCAGCCUGCAGUGGGUACGGGCAGACUAGAGUGCGGUAGGGGAGAUUGGAAUUCCUGGUGUAGCGGUGGAAUGCGCAGAUAUCAGGAGGAACACCGAUGGCGAAGGCAGAUCUCUGGGCCGUAACUGACGCUGAGGAGCGAAAGGGUGGGGAGCAAACAGGCUUAGAUACCCUGGUAGUCCACCCCGUAAACGUUGGGAACUAGUUGUGGGGUCCAUUCCACGGAUUCCGUGACGCAGCUAACGCAUUAAGUU
rnacentral:rRNA from 1 species